UGGGGAAUAUUGCACAAUGGGGGAAACCCUGAUGCAGCAACGCCGCGUGAGUGAUGACGGUCUUCGGAUUGUAAAGCUCUGUCUUCAGGGACGAUAAUGACGGUACCUGAGGAGGAAGCCACGGCUAACUACGUGCCAGCAGCCGCGGUAAUACGUAGGUGGCAAGCGUUGUCCGGAUUUACUGGGCGUAAAGGGAGCGUAGGUGGAUAUUUAAGUGGGAUGUGAAAUACUCGGGCUUAACCUGGGUGCUGCAUUCCAAACUGGAUAUCUAGAGUGCAGGAGAGGAAAGUAGAAUUCCUAGUGUAGCGGUGAAAUGCGUAGAGAUUAGGAAGAAUACCAGUGGCGAAGGCGACUUUCUGGACUGUAACUGACACUGAGGCUCGAAAGCGUGGGGAGCAAACAG
rnacentral:rRNA from 1 species